UGCCAGCCGCCGCGGUAAUACGGAGGGGGCUAGCGUUGUUCGGAAUCACUGGGCGUAAAGCGCGCGUAGGCGGAUCAGUCAGUCAGGGGUGAAAUCCCGAGGCUCAACCUCGGAACUGCCUUUGAUACUGCUGGUCUUGAGUUCGAGAGAGGUGAGUGGAAUUCCUAGUGUAGAGGUGAAAUUCGUAGAUAUCUGGAAGAACACCAGAGGCGAAGGCGGUCUCUUGGUCCGAAACUGACGCUGAGGCGCGAAAGCGUGGGGAGCAAACAGGAUUAGAUA
rnacentral:rRNA from 1 species